UGUUUGAUACAUUGCAUUGCCUUUGGAUGGGCAGCAAAAUGUCCCAUGUGAACUUGGAAAAAAACCUGAAAGAUGCUCAGAAGUAAAAUAAGACAGAAGAGUAUCCUCAAAGUACAUGGUGACCAGAGCUAAUCUUCCAAGUGUCUGUUGACCAUGAUCUUCAUUUUCUGAAGACUACCCAGAGUCACACUUUACCCUCUCUUUCAUGGUUAAGAUGAAGCAUCUGCUGCCUACUUUCUUCAUUAGCAUCAUAAAGAGCUUGAGUUUAAAAGCUAGAAGGAUGGUGAAAGAGUGCAGCAUGCACUUGAAAGACUAGGCUGCCCUGAGCUUCACAUUCUCCACCUGCCUCUCCUUUGUGAUGUGAACAAGAUCCAGCAGAGGACUUUCUCUCCUCAACUG